AAUCUAACUUUGGGAGAAGGGGUACCUCCCCAUAAAGGGGACGUAGUGACUAGGCUUGGGCAACUGUUUACCAAAAACAUAAGUAUUGACAAAGUUGUAAGACCAUGUAUGGGGGUUGACACCUACCUAAUGCUAAAAGGUCAAGGAAGUUGGUGACUUGAUGACAAGGGAGCUGGCUACCAAAGCCCCAGUGAACAGCGGUCAUAACUAUAACGAUCCUAAGGUAGCAAAAUUCCUUGUCAUGUUAGUUCCAACCUGCAUGAAAGGAGUAACAAUCUAGGCACCG
rnacentral:ncRNA from 1 species